rnacentral:rRNA from 1 species
AGUGAACGCUGGCGGUAGGCCUAACACAUGCAAGUCGAACGGCAGCACAGUAAGAGCUUGCUCUUACGGGUGGCGAGUGGCGGACGGGUGAGGAAUACAUCGGAAUCUACUUUUUCGUGGGGGAUAACGUAGGGAAACUUACGCUAAUACCGCAUACGACCUACGGGUGAAAGCAGGGGAUCUUCGGACCUUGCGCGAUUGAAUGAGCCGAUGUCGGAUUAGCUAGUUGGCGGGGUAAAGGCCCACCAAGGCGACGAUCCGUAGCUGGUCUGAGAGGAUGAUCAGCGACACUGGAGCUGAGACACGGUCCAGACUCCUACGGGAGGCAGCAGUGGGGAAUAUUGGACAAUGGGCGCAAGCCUGAUCCAGCCAUACCGCGUGGGUGAAGAAGGCCUUCGGGUUGUAAAGCCCUUUUGUUGGGAAAGAAAAGCAGCAGGUUAAUACCCCGCUGUUCUGACGGUACCCAAAGAAUAAGCACCGGCUAACUUCGUG